UGUAAGCGUAUACCAAAGUUGUUGCAGUUAAAACGCUCGUAGUCGGAAUUUGGCAGUUCCGGAUGUGUGCACGUCGUGUGCGCACUUCGCGGGGAUUGCUUUUGUGGUCUUGCGUAGGAUGAGGCACUUUUAUUAGUGAACGUCCUCACGCAACCACUUUUUACUGUGAGAAAAUCAGAGUGCUCAAAGCAGGCAUUUGCCGUGAAUGUAUUAGCAUGGAAUAAUAGAGUAGGACUUGGUUCUAUUUUGUUGGUUUGUUGGGACUGAGUAAUGAUUAAGAGGGACAGUUGGGGGCAUUUGUAUUUCGGUGCUAGAGGUGAAAUUCUUAGAUUACCGAAAGACAAACUGCUGCGAAAGCGUCUGCCAAGGAUGUUUUCAUUGA
rnacentral:rRNA from 1 species